CGCCUGUUUCAAACGUAAACGCACAGACAUCUUGAAAGAAAAAUCAGUGACGUAAUAUGCGGUAUGACGUCAUUCGCUUAAAGUUUGGCACGAUUUUCAAAUUAAUAUCAUAACUAUUAUUUUUAUGAAUUAUAAGCAUGAGAUAAGACAAACAAAAAUCUUUAGAACUUACGUCUAAGAUGAUAAUAUAUUAUCAAGAGGUUAACUUGUUAUAUACAUUACAGGACGUUUCGGACCGAGUCAACUUGUAAUUGGCCAUGCUAGCGGCGGCUUCAUCAGACAGCAAUAUGGAAUUUGGACUGUAGUACAAGGACAGCGUGGCUUUUAUUGGUUCACCGAUAAAGGCAACAUCGUCACACAUCCGUCUGAUGAAUGGGAGUAAAAUCGAGAGCAGGGAUAUCAAUCACAGG